rnacentral:rRNA from 1 species
CUACGGGACGCUCCAGUGAGGAAUAUUGCACAAUGGAGGAAACUCUGAUGCAGCAACGCCGCGUGGAGGAUGACGCAUUUCGGUGUGUAAACUCCUUUUAUAUGUCAAGAAAAUGACGGUAGCAUAUGAAUAAGCUCCGGCUAACUCCGUGCCAGCAGCCGCGGUAAUACGGAGGGAGCAAGCGUUACUCGGAAUCACUGGGCGUAAAGGACGCGUAGGCGGGAUAGAAAGUCAGGUGUGAAAUCCUAUGGCUCAACCAUAGAACUGCACUUGAAACUUCUAACCUAGAGUAUGGGAGGGGAAGAUGGAAUUAGUGGUGUAGGGGUAAAAUCCGUAGAUAUCACUAGGAAUACCAAAAGCGAAGGCGAUCUUCUGGAACAAUACUGACGCUAAGGCGUGAAAGCGUGGGGAGCAAACAGGAUUAGAUACCCGGGUAGUC